GGACAGAGGAGAUCCUGGAUAUCAUCUUCAAAGACUUCUGCAUUGGAAAAUAGAGACAAAAAAGGCAC